rnacentral:rRNA from 1 species
UGAGUAAUGUCUGGGAAACUGCCCGAUGGGGGGGGAUAACUACUGGAAACGGUAGCUAAUACCGCAUAACGUCUUCGGACCAAAGUGGGGGACCUUCGGGCCUCACACCAUCGGAUGUGCCCAGAUGGGAUUAGCUAGUAGGUGGGGUAAUGGCUCACCUAGGCGACGAUCCCUAGCUGGUCUGAGAGGAUGACCAGCCACACUGGAACUGAGACACGGUCCAGACUCCUACGGGAGGCAGCAGUGGGGAAUAUUGCACAAUGGGCGCAAGCCUGAUGCAGCCAUGCCGCGUGUAUGAAGAAGGCCUUCGGGUUGUAAAGUACUUUCAGUGGGGAGGAAGGCGUUAAGGUUAAUAACCUUGACGAUUGACGUUACCCGCAGAAGAAGCACCGGCUAACUCCGUGCCAGCAGCCGCGGUAAUACGGAGGGUGCAAGCGUUAAUCGGAAUUACUGGGCGUAAAGCGCACGCAGGCGGUCUGUCAAGUCGGAUGUGAAAUCCCCGGG